CUUAGAGCGGACUCAAAGCUCCGCGGUUCCCGACGUGCUUAGCACAUGCGCGAUAGCUCUGCUCUCUCUUCUUCCACUUCCACAAGCCGCCACCGUCCGGGCAGCCGCCGCCACCGUCGCCGAGGAGUCAGGAAGUUCAAGAUGGCCGCCGCGGAGACUCAGUCUUUGCGGGAACAGCCAGAGAUGGAAGAUGCUGAUAAUUCUGAAAAAAGUAUAAAUGAAGAAAAUGGAGAAGUAUCAGAAGACCAAUCUCAAAAUAAGCACAGUCGUCACAAAAAAAAGAAGCAUAAACACAGAAGUAAACAUAAGAAGCAUAAACAUUCCUCAGAAGAAGACAAGGAUAAAAAACAUAAACAUAAGCAUAAACAUAAGAAACACAAAAGAAAAGAGGUUAUUGAUGCUUCUGACAAAGAAGGUAUGUCUCCAGCAAAAAGAACUAAACUUGAUGAUUUAGCUUUGCUGGAAGACUUGGAGAAACAGAGAGCCUUGAUUAAAGCUGAACUUGAUAAUGAGUUAAUGGAAGGAAAGGUCCAGUCGGGGAUGGGGCUCAUAUUACAAGGUUAUGAAUCUGGCUCUGAAGAAGAGGGGGAAAUUCAUGAAAAGGCAAGAAAUGGAAAUAGGUCUAGUACUAGAUCUUCAACUACAAAGGGGAAACUUGAAAUUAUGGACAAUAAAAAUAGUACAAAAAAGCGAAGUAAAAGCAGAUCCAAAGAACGGACUAGACAUAGGUCUGACAAAAAGAAAGGUAAGGGAGGUAUUGAAAUAAUUAAAGAAAAGACAACUAGGAGCAAAUCAAAGGAGAGGAAAAAGUCCAAAAGUCCAUCCAAAAGAAGUAAGUCUCAAGAUCAAACAAGAAAAUCAAAAUCUCCUACCCUUAGAAGGCGAUCUCAAGAGAAAAUUGGGAAGGCCAGAUCUCCUGCUGAUGACAAAGUUAAAAUUGAAGAUAAAAGUAAGUCAAAAGACAGAAAAAAAUCCCCAGUUAUAAAUGAGAGUAGAAAUCGUGAUCGAAGCAAAAAAUCCAGAUCCCCAGUUGACUUAAGAGGUAAAUCCAAAGACAGAAGGUCACGGUCCAAAGAGAGAAAAUCAAAAAGGUCCGAAACUGAUAAGGAAAAGAAGCCAAUUAAAUCUCCUUCUAAAGAUGCUUCUUCUGGGAAAGAAAAUAGGUCACCCAGUAGAAGGCCUGGUCGUAGUCCUAAAAGAAGGAGCUUAUCUCCAAAACAACGUGAUAAAUCAAGAAGAAGUAGAUCUCCACUUUUAAAUGAUAGGAGGUCUAAACAGAGCAAAUCUCCUUCUCGAACUCUGUCUCCUGGUAGAAGAGCCAAGAGUCGAUCUUUGGAAAGAAAACGAAGAGAACCAGAAAGGAGACGACUUUCUUCCCCAAGAACACGACCUCGAGAUGAUAUCCUCAGUAGACGUGAGAGGUCAAAAGAUGCCAGUCCCAUCAGCAGGUGGUCUCCAACCCGAAGAAGAGCAAGUAGAUCUCCCAUUAGAAGGAGAUCUCGCUCCCCACUCAGGCGUAGCAGGUCUCCCAGAAGAAGAAGCAGGUCUCCUCGGAGAAGGGACAGAGGUCGGAGGAGCAGAUCACGCAUGAGAAGGCGGUCUCGAUCACGGGGUGGUCGUAGACGUAGGAGCAGAAGCAAAGUAAAGGAAGAUAAAUUUAAAGGAAGUCUUUCUGAAGGAAUGAAGGUUGAGCAAGAAUCAUCUUCUGAAGAUAACCUUGAAGACUUUGAUGUAGAGGAAGAAGAUGAAGAGGCAUUAAUAGAACAGAGAAGAAUACAAAGGCAAGCAAUUGUUCAGAAAUAUAAAUAUCUUGCUGAAGAUAGCAAUAUGUCUGUGCCAUCUGAACCCAGUAGCCCCCAGAGCAGUACUCGGACACGGUCACCUUCUCCAGAUGACAUUCUGGAAAGGGUAGCUGCUGAUGUUAAAGAGUAUGAACGAGAAAAUGUGGAUACAUUUGAGGCCUCAGUAAAAGCCAAGCAUAAUCUAAUGACAGUUGAGCAAAAUAAUGGGUCUUCUCAGAAGAAGCUUUUGGCACCUGAUAUGUUUACAGAAUCUGAUGACAUGUUUGCUGCAUAUUUUGAUAGUGCUCGUCUUCGAGCUGCUGGCAUUGGAAAAGAUUUCAAAGAGAAUCCUAACCUCAGGGAUAACUGGACUGAUGCAGAAGGCUAUUAUCGUGUGAACAUAGGUGAAGUACUAGAUAAGCGCUACAAUGUGUAUGGCUACACUGGUCAAGGCGUGUUCAGUAAUGUCGUACGAGCCAGAGAUAAUGCAAGAGCCAACCAAGAAGUAGCCGUAAAGAUCAUCAGAAACAAUGAGCUCAUGCAAAAAACUGGUUUAAAAGAACUAGAAUUCUUGAAAAAACUUAAUGAUGCUGAUCCUGAUGACAAAUUUCAUUGUUUACGGCUCUUCAGACACUUUUAUCACAAACAGCAUCUCUGUCUCGUAUUUGAGCCUCUCAGUAUGAAUUUACGAGAGGUGUUGAAAAAAUAUGGUAAAGAUGUUGGUCUUCAUAUUAAAGCCGUAAGAUCCUAUAGUCAGCAGUUGUUCUUGGCAUUGAAACUCCUUAAACGAUGCAAUAUUCUACAUGCUGAUAUCAAGCCAGAUAAUAUCCUGGUUAAUGAAUCAAAAACUAUUUUAAAGCUCUGUGAUUUUGGGUCGGCUUCACAUGUCGCGGAUAAUGACAUAACUCCUUAUCUUGUCAGUAGAUUUUAUCGUGCUCCUGAAAUUAUUAUAGGUAAAAGCUAUGACUAUGGUAUAGAUAUGUGGUCGGUAGGUUGCACCUUAUAUGAACUCUAUACUGGAAAAAUUUUAUUUCCUGGCAAAACCAAUAACCAUAUGUUGAAGCUCGCCAUGGAUCUCAAAGGAAAGAUGCCAAAUAAGAUGAUUCGGAAAGGCGUAUUCAAAGACCAGCAUUUUGAUCAAAACCUUAACUUCAUGUACAUAGAAGUUGAUAAAGUAACAGAAAGGGAGAAAGUUACUGUCAUGAGCACCAUUAAUCCAACUAAGGACCUGUUGGCUGACUUGAUUGGGUGCCAGCGACUUCCUGAAGACCAACGUAAAAAAGUGCACCAACUAAAGGACUUGUUGGACCAGAUCCUAAUGUUGGACCCAGCCAAACGAAUUAGCAUCAACCAGGCCCUACAGCAUGCCUUUAUCCAGGAAAAAAUUUAAACGAGAUGAAGAAGCUCCAAUGGUUUGAGUAAUUAAAUACAAAGACUGAAGAAAUUUCACAGCAGUUUAUUAAUGUAUAUAAACUUAUAAAUAUUUCUCCAGCAAAUUUGAGGAAGCAUGAUAUAUUUGAAUUAACACCAAGGGUGAUAUUCUUUUAGAAAUGUUAGUUAAUCUGUUUUGUGUCUUAUGUGAAAUUUCACUGUAGAACUGUUUUAACUGCCAAGACUGCACAAAAUUAUAGUGCUAAUGUAUAUGGUUGCAGUUCACAUAAAAGACAAAAAAGCAUCUGUUACAAAAUAAGUAGUAAUACUGGGUGGUUGAUUUAUUUUUAGCAGACUUGGCUUCAUUUUGGUCUUCAGGUAAAAUGGCCAGCAUAAAUGCUGUUUAUAUUCACAUUUUCCUAGGUGUGUGUGUGCAGGCCACAGCAGCAUGCCCUUGGUGUAGUCAUUGCCGAAGGGGUCUGUUCCUUCUUGAGCCUGCCUGCAGGGACGGUCUCCUCUUUUAAGCAGGUUGUGUACAACAUUCAGUACACUGAAGGUAAGCUAAACCAUCAACAUCACUGGUAUUUUAAGAUGUUAUUUUAUUGGAACAAUUGACAAAUGAGGAUAUUAGCUUUGUGGCAGAAUUCCCUGCAUGUGUGAUAACUGAUCUUGUUUUAUUUUUUUGGCAUUGCAACUGUGGCAUAGUUACAAUUUCUGUUCUAUUCAUCACAUUUAAAAUUUGAAGAGUAUGCGCUUGAUGGAUAGAGCGCCUUCAGUGUACUGUUUCUUAAUUAACUUUAAUUUUUUAAAAAUCAACUUGCUAUAGACUUUAUACAUUUUGUUAAAUACAGUUCCUAGUGACAUAGAAACAAUGCGUAGUUUUCAUUUACUAAAUUACAAAUGUUGAGGCAUAAUUGAAAGUCCUCAUUUAAAAGUUAGAUAGACAACAUAAUGAAAUUUUUAACUAUUUGUAUGUCAUUUUGAAAGUGUACUGGUUUAUGGUAAAAGUGUUUUUCAUUUGUUCAUUGUUUUCAUUAUUUGUGAUCAUGUUGUCUUUCAAUACAGGCAUAAACCUUCCACUCUUGAACAAAGCAGCUGCUUUUUAAAAGCGAGAAAAAAGGAAAACGGGGCACAGGCCAUUCAACGCCUUCUCCAAGGGGUCUGAUUUGCUGAGACACCAGCUUCACCUUCUUAACAAGGUUAUUUCUGACAGCAUGUGUAGAUAAACAUUUAGCAACAGUUUAAAACAAAAAUCAUGUAAAUCAGCUUGGUUUUGCAACACAAAGGAAUUGUAUUUUUAACAUGGUGGAAGAGAAUUUUCAGAAAUUUAUGUAAUCUUUUCUGUUUGGGUCGUAAGAUUAAUUCUUGUCUCCCUGAGGAAUAUGGAAAGUAAUCAGAUUUUAGGGGCUUAAAUAAUAUUUUUAAAUUGUAAAUGGGAUUUUUUUAUUCACCCAGGCACUAAUUACCACAAGCAUGCACAUUUUGGUGCAUUCAAGAAUGGAAAAUCAGAUAGCAGCAUUCUUCUGGUGGGUUUUGCUCCAUUUAAAGACAUGAAAUGAACUACAGCCAGGAAGGUGAUAGAUGAUAUAAUAAGCCAACUUUGAUUCUAUACCCCAUCUCUUCACGAUUUAGACUUACUUAAAUAAAUACAAGGUGGUGUUCAUCUUCAAGUAGAGUGAAGCCUUGUAAAUGAGGCAUCACUGGUGCAGCUUUCUACCUUAAAUGGAAUGGGUAGAGAUUUUCCCACCAUUAUUUACUUUAUUUUGGUGAUAAUAUGCUGCAUAUUCAAAUCUUUGUAAUUAUUUUCACUCAGAAUAACAUACGAUGCUUCUGGUGACUUUUAUAGCUUCAUUUUAUAUAAUUAUUUAAGUAAGUUAACUUCCACUAGAAACAGUUCAUCUUAUGCCUUCAAAACUGUUACAUAUUCUUUAAAAAACAAAGUUGCUUGUUACUUGUUCUUUGUGUUUUAGGUGCAGCUCAGUGGAAGAUGAUGACAACCAGAAGACAUGAGCUAAGGUUUCUGUUCCAUAAAAGAUUAAAAAAAAAAGAAUCCUUCAUUUAAGUUUUGUCUAAUUUUUUAGUUUUCAGCAUUAUGAUUUGGGUUUCAUUAAUGUUUGGUACUUAGAAUAGUAGUGCUAUUGUGUUCAUUUGUAAAGUGCUUGUUUGAUCAUGCUCCUGCCUCUUCCCCAUCUUCCCUUCCCUAAAAUAAAGAUAGUGGUCAAAUUUAGUGGUGUAGAAGACUCUUAAAUGGUGAGAUUCCUUAUAACAUAAGGUUUUCAAAUUUGGCUCCUAUGGAUUAUUAUUAGGGAAACAGCAAAUAUCAAAAUAGCAUACAUCAGAACUUAGUCUUGAGCUUUAGAUUUCUUACCUCCUUGGCAACUCUGUAAAGAUUUAAAAGAAUAGAAUGUAAAAGGGUAGGAACUGGAAUUUUGGGAAUACUAUUCAACUCCUGUUUAAUACUUUAUUCUCCAACAUGCCCUUCAGUAAUUUGUUUUUGACUAUUGCUCCAGUCAUGGUCUUAAAGGAAGCAAAAUAGUUGGAACCAUUGUUAAUUUUUCUUCCUAAGGGAGAUGAGAGGUGAUAUGGCGUAGAUCUUUUAUAUGCUCGAAUUAAGCAUUCCUAGAUUAAUCUAUUUGACAGGAACCCUACAAACAGUAUAUACAUGAUACUAGAGUUCCUAGUUUUCCUGAGGAAGAGAUUUGGAACUCUGCAAGAGCUCUGUGAGAUUGAGGUCAUUUUGUGAAUGAUCUUUUAAAAGCCCACAUUCAUGUUUCAGAGUAGCUGUGUAGUUUUCAAAUACAAUUAUCUCUUGAAGUUUUUGCUUUAUUAUACUUUAUACCAAAAAGUGAUAGCAAGUAAGUCAAGUGAUUGUCAGACUUCAGGGUUCAUAAGUCUUAGGGCAUAGCUCCUAAAGAUUUCAUAAUUCUUUAUGUAUUUGGGGGAAUAGUUGAGAUUUUAGAAAGCAUACACAUUUUAGACACCAUUCUCUAGGUAGCCCUUAUUCUUGAAGGUUAUCAGAAAUGAAGUUGGAAUUUUAAGGCUUCGAAGGCAUGGAGCAUCUUGUUAUAAAUCUUGAGAUUGUCCCAGUACUUGUUUUCAUCCCUAAAUCUUCCAUAGCAUCUUGUUCUCAGUGCCUAUCAUUCCCCUCAAAAUUACUUUUUUCCUCAAAAUAAUUGUUUUUUAUUAAAAGAGUUUUUACUUACAACCAUUAUAAUUACCACUUUCUACUAAUUAAUGAGUAUACAGGAUAUUUCUACAAUAUGAAAAAUUUAUGUUUUAUGGUAUGUGGUAGAGGCAGUGAAAUGUUCUCAGAUUUGUGUCAUGUCUGAGAACAAAUACUUUUCUUGGACUUACUCUGUCAUCAUUUUGUAGCAGAACUCUAGCUAGCUUGGUAGAACUAAAAUCUCUGAAAUGAAACACAGAAAUCACAUACAUGAACAUUUAGGCCAAGUAGUUAAGGAAUGCCCUUUUAAAUCUUGGAGAUAAGAAAGAAGCUAAAUAUUCAAAUAUGUAGCUUCUUCCCUUAGUUGUAAUGACAUCAUUAGAAAUUGGGUUUCCAUAAAGUAUUUUUCUUCAUAGUGUCCUAGUUCAAGCAUAUAUUCAACAUGAAUUUUAUCAUGCUUCUCCUAGAUGGAAUGUCCUUAUAGAAAUGUUCAAUACAAAUUCAUCUGUGUUUUUUACAUGUUAAUAAUGUACAUACACUAAAUUGAGUUUUGAAAUGUUUUCCAGUUAUUUUGAUAGAUAUCAUCAUGGCACCUUUAAUUGUUCUUUUCCUUUUGUAUGUAGGGUAAGGGACUGUUCUUCUGAAGAAUCUUUCCAUUUAGUGAUCAAGAUAUGGAAGCUGAAAUCUGAAAAUACUCACCAUGUAUUCUGUUUGUGAUAUCAUUUGAAUUGUAACUUGCAUUUGAGUAGCAAUGUUCCCAAUCAACUUGUUGGGAAAACAUAAUAAAAUAUGCCAUUUCUUA